GAGAAAUUCAGGAUCAAGUUACAGCCUCAGCUGUGCUGACACUGCUAAAAGGGGACACGUUUCCUUGUUUCCUUCGCCUCGCCAGGCCUCUUCCCAGUACUGACGUCCUGCCCCCUCCCCGCACAGACUCUGGCGCCUGUCAAACUCUUUGCUCGACUCAGUUCCAUAGGCAGAUCCUGUCCUGUCCUCUUGGUUUGCUGCAUCACAUUUCACUGUUUUGCCUAGCUAAAACAGCUAACAGAUAUUGUACUUGGUGGUGCUUUGAAUUCAGAAGGAAAAAUUGA
rnacentral:lncRNA from 1 species